UACGAAGGGGGCUAGCGUUGCUCGGAAUCACUGGGCGUAAAGCGCACGUAGGCGGCUUUUUAAGUCAGGGGUGAAAUCCUGGAGCUCAACUCCAGAACUGCCUUUGAUACUGAGAAGCUUGAGUCCGGGAGAGGUGAGUGGAACUGCGAGUGUAGAGGUGAAAUUCGUAGAUAUUCGCAAGAACACCAGUGGCGAAGGCGGCUCACUGGCCCGGUACUGACGCUGAGGUGCGAAAGCGUGGGGAGCGAACCGG
rnacentral:rRNA from 1 species